rnacentral:lncRNA from 1 species
UGGAAAUCCAUGGUUGCUGGCAGUGAAGGAUACUGGAAGUGGAGCCUCAAUCUGACCCCAUCUAAGACUACCAGAAAAGCAUUUGGGAGAAAUGUCUUGCUCCGCUCACUGCACCACUGGCUUCCUAUGAAAUGCUAUAUCGAUAGCUCUACCUCUCCCCUUUGCCUGUUUAGGUGGUAUGAACUUGCAGAAUCUACUUGGACUGCCAGGGCUACAAGCAGCACGCUCUCCAUCUGGCUUCAGAGCUAAGACAAAGCUUCACUACUGGACCAACAGAGAUAUAUUUGGGUGAAGGAAAGAGCACAAAGUAUGCAAGAGGAUCCUGGCUACCUCAAGCUCCUCAGGCGCACAAGGCUGAGAGAAAGGUCCCUAGGCCCCCACUGGGAGAUGCCUUUCACUCUCCUUACAGCACAGUCAGAGCAACCAAGAUACUUCUGCGGAAGCCUCAGUGGAGUCAGU